rnacentral:lncRNA from 1 species
GUUACGAGGAGCAGACACUUCUUGCUCAGGACUCCAACUGGGGCCACGCCGGGGAGCCAGUGCUUCUGGUGUGGGUGGUCUCGGCCACAGCUUGGUUUGGCUCCUUUCCAAGGUGAGUCUGCUCCGUUCUUACAAGGUGUUUAGAACCACACAUCUCGAUACUUCAUUCUGCACUCAGAGGACUGAAUCACUGAUCCUGAGGUGCCUUCCCCGGAGGACUUCAUCUCCCAUGCACUCCAGAGUUUCUCAUCCCUGGGAAGCAACAUAGGGCACAGCAGCUGUAGGUGGGGGUAGAGUUGGGGUGGAGAGCAGGGGUAAGAAAGCUGAACUCAAUUUUCCUUAUUUGCCCCAUGCUGGCACAAUUCUUGGUUCUUGAGAGCUACAUAGGAAGGGAGAAAGCUAUGCCACUGGCUUAAGAGAAGAGGGGCAAAUGGCUUGGCAAUAUGGAUAGAAUUUCUUGAUUCAUGUCAUAAUGUUCCAGGGUGGAGGAGGACAAGCCCACAACUGGAAGGUUUUCUUCCUCUAGGCUGGCUUCCUUCCCAGCUCCUGCCUUUGAGGUCCCUCCUUUAAGCCCACCCAGCUCGGCACCUGGGCCAAGCCCAGCAAGGGCAGGAGGUAUGGGUAAGUGCGGUGGGAGGGUUUAGAAAUUUCCUUUCUUUCUUUUUUUUUUUUUUCUUUUUAGGGCUACACGUGUGGCAUAUGGAAGUUCUCAGACUAGGGGUUGAAUAAGAGCUGCAGCUGCUGGCCUACGCCAGAGCCACAGCCACAGCCACACAGGAUCCUAGCCAAGUCUGCGACCUACACUGCAGCUCACAGCAAUGCCAGACCCUUAACCCCCUGAGCGAGGCCAGGGACCAAACCCCAUUCUCAUGGAUACUUAUCAGGUUCGUUACUGUUGAGUCACAACGGGAAUUCCCGUUUUCUCUUUUAGAUUCCACAUAUAAGUGAAAUCGUAUGGUACUUGUCUUUCUCUGUCUAUUUUACUUACCAUAAUACCUUCUAGAUCUAUCCAUGUUGUUGCAAAUGGCACAAUUUCAUGCUUUUUUAUGAC